GACAAGAAAUGAGUCUUCGAAUUUGUAAUUUCCCGUUCCAUCCAAAAUUCGCGCUACAACCUCGCGCCCAAAGGUCAACACGAAUCUUCGCUCGUACAGAGAACGAUUCUCCACAACAACAACAACAACUCAAUCUCUCUGUUCUUCGCUUCACUUUCGGAAUUCCUGGGCUAGACGAAUCUUAUCUACCGAGAUGGAUCGGGUACGGGUUUGGAUCACUUCUUCUUCUUAACCACUUCUCAGCUUCUGCUCCAAUCAGUGAAUCUCAAAUGAGAUCAGAGGCUUUGGGAUUAUCACUUGCUUCGUUUUCAAUAGCUUUACCUUACAUUGGUAAAUUCCUUAAGGGCUCUGUAGUGGAGCAGAGAACUCUACCUGAAGAAGGAGAGCAGAUUUUUGUGAUAUCAUCAAAUAUUGGAGAUUCUUUGAAGGAGGAUUUAGCAUGGGCAACGUAUGUUUUGUUGAGGAAUACAAGUACUAUAGCUGUGUUGAUAUUGGUUCAAGGCGAGCUUUGUGUUCGCGGGUACUGGAAUUGUCCAGAUCAGAUGUCAAAGGCUCAACUACAUGAUUGGUUUAAGAAAAAAGUGGAUGAGAUUGGCUUGGCUGAUGUGAAGGAUACCCUUUAUUUCCCUCAAUAUGCAGGUUCUGCACUAUCUUGGGAUAUUCUUCCCGAUGGGACGCGUUCUCUUUUUAUGCAACCUCUUGUACAAAAUAUAAGUGAACCGCAGAAAGUGAAUGGGUUUUUGCUGGUGGCUUCUACUGCUGGGUAUGCAUAUAGCGAUAAAGAUAGAGCCUGGAUUGGAGCUAUGGCUGAGAAAUUCAGAGGAUGACAUUAGCUGUUCAUGAUAAUGUAAUCUUUGACCCGAAUCUUGAUUGGUGACUGGCGAAACACUUCAGUUCUUACAGGAAUUUCUCAAGGCCAUAAACCAGAUUCUGCAUAACAAAAAGAGAAUAACGGCAAGUGAUUAGAUAACAAUCUGACCAAGAUUUGAUAUGUUGUUUGCAAUUUGGAUAGCUUCUGGAGAAGGAAAAUCCUGCAUUUGAUAGUGGAAGGAGGCCAUGAUCACAGCCUGUUGGAGAAGUAUAGAUCCUAUGGAUAGAGUUGGUGCUACAAGGCAUCCCUAUAGUGCAAGCAGAGACGAAAUUUGAUUGACGUGGGCAGACUCGACCUCACAAAGAAAGGGAACAUAAUGAAUUUUCUGCGAGUAUCUCAUCUCACCAUGUGCUCACCAUGGUGGCCUUGUCACAUAGUGCAGACAACGCAGAUACUGUCUCUGGCUUAAUCCGAGGUUGAGAAGCCGAGCAGGAAAAGGAAGGCCUUGAGGGUUUGAGAUGUCUUGAUAGCUUGAAGAAGUGGCAGUUCACAGCUGCCAUUGCUCUAACCUAGGAGAUAGCUUUUGUGUUUCUUUUUGUUGCUUGAUGGUUUUCUCAUGUUGAUAAGAGAUUUUUUUGCACUGUCAUUUGUCUUCUACUUCAAACGAUGUCGUCUCUGUUUGAGGCGUUUGGAAGGAUAAGGUACUUGACUC